rnacentral:lncRNA from 1 species
GCGUCCCGGGGCAGGUCCUGCGGAGACCCUGCCUGUCCUCCCGGCCACCGUGGUGGGGGUUGCGGGGAGGGAGUGGGGGCGGUUCAGGCCCUCCAUCCCAGACAGCGACCUCGCCUGCCCCGCGGGGCACGUCCCACUCACCUUGAAACGCCUCAGCCCCCCGCACCGGCAAAGGUAGCCUCAGGAGCAGCAGCACCAGCAGCCACGCCCGCGACCCUCGAGCUCUCGGAGACCCCCGGCCCAUCGCUGCGAGCGCCUCGGCCUCCACGCCGCGGCUCCCGGCUCCCGGCUCCGCCCGGGCUGGAUCCACCAGGCCGACCCACGCCCAGAGCAGCCGGCCCGCCGCCUCCCGACCCUCCCGCGCCAGGGGAGCCGGAGCGGCCGUCUAAGGGUAGGAGCGGGGCGGGCGGAAUCCGCGCGGCCCCUCGGGGAGCGGCCCGCGCAGAGCCUCCCGGCAGGUCUCGGCGCCCUAUCCCCGCGGGGGCGGAGCGGGGGCGGAGCGGGGACGGGGCGGGGCCCCUCGCAAGGGCCGGUGAGGGCCACUGGGGGUGGGUGGGGGAGAGACCAGGGCUGGGGGCCACCUGUUGCUGCUCGGGUCUGCGCAGGGAGCGCCCCCCGUCCGCGGCCCCCUCGGCGGACCUCUUUCCCCGCCUGCUCACCAGUCCUGCCCGGAGGGGCCCUGGCCGGAACCCGGCGGAAGUGCCCCUAGGAGAAGGGAGGCGGGCGCCCGCGAGCGGCAGGUGCGGCGGCGGCUCGGGGCUCAGCUCGGCGUCGCGGUGGCCUCCAGCUCCUGUGCCCGCGGCGCGCGGACGGGUCGGGGGAGCCGGGGGAGUCGGGGGAGCCGGGGAGCCGCGGUCCGGCGGGCUUGGUGCCCGGGGAAGGAGAGGCGGCCGCGCGGGGGUGGGGCGGGGGCAGCCCAUGUCCCGGGUGGUGGCCCGAGGGAACAACUGCACAAAGCCACAGACUCCCAGGCGUAGAGGAUUCUUUCUGCUUUGGCAACAUCUGUUUCUUUUAAAGGUUUGUUGUGUACUUAGUAAAUUCGGAGAGCGAGUAAGCCAGUAUUCUGAUAGCGGGAGAUGUUAA